UUUUGCACCCUAACCAAGUAUCUUUGGAGCUGCUGUGGCUAAUUCAGCAAUAUAGAAAGUUUUAUUAAUAGAAAUCGUAGAGGAACAAAGGAGAACAGUAGAAAAACUUCAGAGCAGGCAAAGGGAGGAUUAAGGGACGAUAGAUUGCAGACUUGGUUUUGAUUUGCAUUGCUGUUCCAGAGUACAAAAAUACCUUCAAAGGCCUAAUAGAAGAGAAAAAGAAGAUAUACCAGGAAGGACUACUGCUCGCUGCUCAGUCUCUAGGGUCUCUUCCAUUCUGAAGAACUGGGAUGAUGAUCAAUGAGCUAGGAAAGUACAAAGAGCAGAGGAGGCUGGGUCCAUUGACACCUAUGAUGUGGGAGCAGGCAACCAGAACCCUCUAGGGCCAGAAAGUUGUGAAGACAGAGAAUAGUCUUAGAAUAUGACAAAAAUAAAAAGGAGAGGAAAAGAGAAUUUUGCAAGUGUAACUGUCAGUUUAAAAUUGGAAUCUCUCCGAAGUACUUUGAGGUGUGCUAAAGCUUCUAUUCUGGAAGACCUAUUCCUCCUUGACACAUUAUUUUCUACAAGACUUCAUUUAUGUAAUAUUUGGCUUUGUGGACACCUGCUAAGGACUGGCAUGUCUGGCAUACAGCAGGAAUUAAACAAAUGGAAAUGAGCAUAAAGAAGGUAUGAAAUGUGAAGCAAGUACAGGUUGGCUACUUUGAUUUCAUAUUAAAAAGUACUUGUGUAUUUUUCUUAGAACCAUUUUUUCCCUAUAGGCUUUAUGGGUGUUGUUGUUUUUUACUCUUCUUAAAAAGAUCUAUAGGGUUUAUCGGCUGGUGAACUGUGGUGAAGAUGCAAUAAGCCUAGCUGUUGAAACAGGAGCCAACUUUGCAUUUUGUGAAAGGAAAGAACAUAGGAAUGAUCCUGUUUGGACCAGGCCCUGAGCUUGAUAUGGAAAUCCUCUAAUUACUAAUGGGGUUGAACAAGAGCAGAUGAAGAGAUAAAGCUAUGGUCGAAAGGACUUCAUCUCUUGGACUGUAAUGGGACACUUUAAAUAUCUUAGUUGUGCCUGUUGUGACUUAAACCAAUUAAAGGUGGUCUUUCAUGGAGAUCUGCUAUUUUGGGAAAGCUCAAAUUUACCUGAGGAAAAUUUAUUGUUAAUAAGUUUAUUCAGUACAACCACAUGGGGAAUAUCAUUUUGAUGGGAGAGAUAAUCCUCAGCCAUUUAACCAAGUAAGAAUAGGAAUGCCUCAAUUCCUGGAUCAAAAUGUACAUACAGAAGGACAGAGGAAAAUAAUCUUUUUGCUUUGGUUUCAAAGGCUUGGUGGUUGAAUGCUUGCCCCAGUGAGGCACUAGAGCUUUGUGUUAAAAUGUCAGGUCUGGAAUCAAAGUAACCAUGUCCCAGUCUUGGCUAAUACUUAACUCAGUGAUCUUAAUUCCAUGUACUUCAAUGUCCUUAUCCAUAAAAUGAAGACAAAAAUGACAACAGUCGUGUAGGAUUGUUUUAAGGAUUAAG
ensembl:lncRNA